UUGAAAGGGUUCAAGUUCAUGUUAAAGACCAAAUAUAAACCCAAUCAAAACCUGGAAUUAAUCCGGAUAGGCCCAAAUUGAGGCCAGUCUUCAAUUCCAAAUCUAACACAAAUUUGAGCUUGAAUCACAUAAAGCCUAACCCAAUCUAAAUUUGAUGGGCCUUAUGUGAAACCCAAACCGUAUUAACCAAAUCAAAGCCCAAACCUAACCUCAAGCCCAAAUCAUAUCAAUCAAAAUCAAAAUCCCAGUCUAACCCAAUCAAAUUAUGCGCAACCUAAUCUAACAUCUUCUCCUACCAAGUCCUUAGAAACAAACCAUUUCAGCCCAAUUCUCUAGCAUAUAAAAUCAAUACAAAUACAUUAAAAGGCGAACCGAAAACCUUCUCUACAGCUCUUCCGUGAUUUCGGAGGUGGGUCUCAAAUACCUCCUCUCUUUCUCUUUUCCUCUGAGGCGUGGGUCCUCUCUUCACAGGAUCCCGCCGAUACCCCCAAUCCCACCGUACACCAAAUCGCGCGUCUGUUGCCCCAAAUCACGCCGGCGAAUCCCGGAAAUCCCGCGCCAUCUGUCGUCGCCUCAAACCGAUCCGCCAUCCCGUACGCGUAUCCCGGAGAUCGCGCCCGCCGCCGUCAGUCUCGUCGGGAAAUCUCGCAAAUCCCGCAUAUCCCGCCGGCCAUACCUUCAAGUCCCGUCGAGCCCCUUAGAUCCUGCCGGAAAUCCCGCCACUACGAGCCAUCAUCGUCGUCGUCACAUUUCGCGUCUCCCAUUCCCGUCGUCGUACAUAGAUCCCACAGAUCCAGCCGCGGAUCGCGCCGAGCUAAUCACAACCAUAUUCAAACUCGAUCAAAUUCUAAAUAUAU
rnacentral:lncRNA from 1 species